GCGGGCAUAGUUCAAUGAUAGAACAUUAGCCUUCCAAGCUAAUAGUGUGGGUUUGAUUCCCAUUGUCCGCU
rnacentral:tRNA from 1 species